rnacentral:tRNA from 1 species
GGGCGCGUAACUCAGCUUGGAUAGAGUACCAGCCUUCUAAGCUGGGAGUCGCGGGUUCGAAGCAAGCCCUUCCG